AUUGAACGCUGGCGGCAUGCCUUACACAUGCAAGUCGAACGGCAGCACGGGUGCUUGCACCUGGUGGCGAGUGGCGAACGGGUGAGUAAUACAUCGGAACAUGUCCUGUAGUGGGGGAUAGCCCGGCGAAAGCCGGAUUAAUACCGCAUACGAUCUACGGAUGAAAGCGGGGGACCUUCGGGCCUCGCGCUAUAGGGUUGGCCGAUGGCUGAUUAGCUAGUUGGUGGGGUAAAGGCCUACCAAGGCGACGAUCAGUAGCUGGUCUGAGAGGACGACCAGCCACACUGGGACUGAGACACGGCCCAGACUCCUACGGGAGGCGGCAGUGGGGAAUUUUGGACAAUGGGCGAAAGCCUGAUCCAGCAAUGCCGCGUGUGUGAAGAAGGCCUUCGGGUUGUAAAGCACUUUUGUCCGGAAUGAAAUCCUUGGCCCUAAUACGGUCGGGGGAUGACGGUACCGGAAGAAUAAGCACCGGCUAACUACGUG
rnacentral:rRNA from 1 species